rnacentral:rRNA from 1 species
GAUGAACGCUGGCGGCGUGCCUAACACAUGCAAGUCGAACGGAGCUGUCGGAGCUUGCUUUGACAGCUUAGUGGCGAACGGGUGAGUAACGCGUGAGCAACCUGCCCUUGAGAGGGGGAGUAACAUCGGGAAACCGAUGCUAAUACCGCAUAAAAUAUGCAGAUGGCAUCAUUGGCAUAUCAAAGGAGAAAUCCGCUCAAGGAUGGGCUCGCGUCUGAUUAGAUAGUUGGUGAGGUAACGGCCCACCAAGUCGACGAUCAGUAGCCGGACUGAGAGGUUGACCGGCCACAUUGGGACUGAGACACGGCCCAGACUCCUACGGGAGGCAGCAGUGGGGAAUAUUGGGCAAUGGGGGGAACCCUGACCCAGCAACGCCGCGUGAAGGAAGAAGGCCUUCGGGUUGUAAACUUCUUUGACAGGGGAAGAAGGAAGUGACGGUACCCUGAGAACAAGCUCCGGCUAACUACGUG